AUCCCUCCACCCCAGUAUCCCUGCACCUCUUCAUCCCUCCAUUCCUGCAUCCCUCUAUUUUUCCAUCCCUCCAUUCCUGUAUCCCUGUGCCCUCCAUCCUCCAUCCCAGCAUCCCUCCAUCCCUGCUCCCCACUCUCACUUCCCUUCCCUUCACAGACAGGCUUUUCCUGCCAUCCUCAGACCCCACCCAGGGUUACCUGAUGCCUUUCCAGCUGCACACGGGGACUGACUCACCUCUCUCUUUCUCAGUCCCAAAGUCCCGAAAGAGAGCAUCUGAUGUGGUCAGCUUGUGACAAGGCGUCCACCUUCUGUCCAUGACAUGGAGGCCAGGGGAAGGUCUCACUGCCCAGCACCCCACCCUGUGCUCCCAGGCCUUUUGAAUGUUCCUCCUGCUCAGCCCAGUGACUGCGGGCUGUGGCUCCUCCUCCAGCCUCCCCUCGAGGUCCUGGUCUUACUUAGGAGGCCCCGGGUGUAGAUGCCUUCCCACCCACCAGGCAUUGCCCCUUUUCCUGGCUUCACAGACUCGGGAAUAAAGUUUCCUUCUGUUUCCCCUCUUGCAGAAGGAGAUCCGGUUGGCAGCUAAACCGCGCUGGGAACAGGGGCCUGAGUCCUGGACUAGGGCUCUUUCCCCGGGGCUGCUGCAGAUGGGGAGGAGCCUACACCCGCCUCCCGAGUGCUAAUCAGACCUGACAGGCUGGAGAAUGGCCAGUCAGCCUGAGGCCACCGCGGGACACCACCUAGGCCCAGCUUCUCCCCCCACCAGAGGGCGCCAGAGCCCGCCAAGCCUCGUAGGAGAUGGCAACAGGGCCUGCUGCUGCCACCUAGCGGCCAAUUCCGGGAAUGAAUCUCGGCACGCUCAUUACCCAGCGACUCUGCCCAUCUUGACCCUUUAUGUGAAGCAGAACAGCCGCUUCCGCAGUGAGCUGUCAGAAGGCGUCGUGCCUGUCUUGCUAGUGGGGAAACUGAGGCUCAGAGAGGCAGAAGACUUGCCCAAGAUCACACCACCGGGACCCAGGAUUCAAGCGCAGGCCUGCCCAGGCUCUCUGUGGCCUCCUGGCUGCGAGGAGGCAGCCAGGGACCAGGUGCCACCCUUCUGAGACACCUGAGAUCCCAGGCCCGAGAGGAUGAAGGCGGGAUUACCUGGAGCGUGUCUGAAUGCUGGAGGAAGAAGGGCAGCUGGGAGAUGAAGCUGUCAGGAUGGGCCGCAUCCCAUUUCCUGCCUCGUUUCAGUUCAACUUUCCAACAGACCUCCCUGGCUCGUCUUGCUCUUCUCUAAUGGACAAACAAACAGGCUCAGAGAGGUGGUGUGACUUGCCCAAGGUCACUCAGCUUGGAUGCUAUGGAACAGGGACGUCCACUGUCCCAGUCUGUUUAUGGGAAGCCGCUCUGCAACUGUCCUGACCCACCACAUGCCCCACCGCUGUUUCUCUUGCCCUGACCCCUUGUUCCCUGGACCAGGGUGGCACAGCUCCAGGCUCUUGGGCCCUUCCCGAGGGCAGGCACCUGUGACUGUGUCCCCAAAGACCUGAGUGGCUGAGGGGGCCCCACAGAGCUUGGACUUCCUGGAGGACAAGGAGGGGUCUGCCAGCCACCCCCACCACGCCCGCCCCAGGGCUCCCCUGGAGCUUCCAUGCCAGCCGGACUCAGGACCCCUGUGAUCACACUGGCCCCCCCACCGGAUGACCCAGGAUAAUCCAUCUCCCUGUUUGAAGGUCGGCUGAUUAGCAACCUUCAUUCCAUCUGCCUCCUUCAUUCCCCCUGGCCAUGUAAUGGGAUUCACAGCUUCUGGGGAUUAGGACAUGGACAUCUUGUGGCGGGGGCAUAAUUCUGUCGACGACACCAAGAAACACUUGGAUGUUAAGGAUUCACCGAACACUGUUCAGGCUCCAGGUGCUGGGAGCAGCAGUGAACAAAGCCAACAGACACUGCCACCCUCAAGGAGUUCACGUUCAUGGGCGAGGGAACAGAUGAGAAACCCGGCAAUGAAAGCUCCACCAUCUCUUCCCCUAAAGGCAACCACCAUUCUGAUUUCUCUCACCAAAGACUGGAAAAAUAUCCCAAUACCUGGAUGUAUGCCUCACGUGUCCCGCUGGCCCCAGCACCCAGGUAUAGUUAGUUACUGCUGUGCCUGGCUUCACUCUCACUUUUUUUUUUUUUUUCUUUUUUUGAGACAUAGUCUCGCUCUGUAGCCCAGGCUGGAGUGCAGUGUGGCACAAUCUCAGCUCACUGCAACCUUCACCUCCCAGGUUCAAGCGAUUCUCCUGCCUCAGCCUCUCGAGUAGCUGCGACUACAGGUGCCCACCACCACACCUGGCUAAUUUUUGUAUUUUUAGUAGAGAUGGGGUUUCACCUUGUUGGCCAGGCUGGUCUCGAACUCCUGACCUCAAGUGAUCCACCUGCCUCAGCCUCCCAAGGUGCUGGGAUUGCAGGCCGGCCUUACCUGGUAUGGUUUUUAGGUUCAUGUUGAUGCCUGGAGUUUCAGUAAUUCCCUCCCAUUCGUUGCUGAGUAGCACUGCAACACAUGCAGGCAGCUAUUUGGGGAUCUUUUCACCUGUUGAUGGGUGUCUGGACUGUUUCCAGUUUUUGGCUGUUACAAAUGAAGCCUCUGUGAGCCACGUACAAGUUCUUCUGUGGAUGUUUUCAUUUAGGGAAAGGGGUAAAUAGGAGUGGAAGUGCUGGGUCACAGGGCAAAUGUCCAUUUGAGUUUAUUAGAAACAAUUCUCCAAAAUGAUUGGCAUUUUACCUUGUACUAGCAGAGUCUAGGAGUGUGGCUGCUCCCAGAUUCUCAUCAAACUACAGUGCUGACAUCUUUAGUUCUAGGCCUUCUAGUGUGGAUGCACUGGUAUCUUGUUAAAUGCUUUUAACUGUUUUGGUAGAGAUGGGGCCUUGCUGUAUUGCAUAGUCUGGUCUUGAACACCUGGCCUCAAGUGAUCUCCAGCCUCACCCUCCCGAAGUGCUGGGAUUACAGGUGUGAGCCACUGCUCUGGGCCUCAUUCAGUGUUUUGCUUCUCCCUGACAACUAAUGGAGUUAAGCUCGUUUUCAUGUUUAUUGGCCAUUAAGUCAUCUUGCUUUUGGAAGUGCCAAUUGUUAACUGGCUUGUCCUCUUCUUUUUGCCUUACACAGUUAAUACAUGCUGGAGAUUACAUGUACUGCAAAGAUUUUCUCCUAGCCGGUGACUUGUCUUUUUCGUUUUUGUUUCUGUUUUUUUUUUUUUCUUUUUUUUUCUUUUCUUUUUUUCUGAGAUGGAGUCUCC
rnacentral:lncRNA from 1 species